rnacentral:rRNA from 1 species
GACGAACGCUGGCGGCGUGCUUAACACAUGCAAGUCGAGGGCACCCCUCACGGGGUGGACCGGCGAACGGGUGCGUAACACGUGAGCGACCUUCCGUCUUCUGGGGGAGUAGCCGGCCCAACGGCCGGGUAAUACCGCAUACGCUCUUUUGGUUGCAUGACCGAGAGAGGAAACGUUCCGGGGAGGACGAGGGGCGUCGCGGCCUAUCAGCUAGGUUGGGGGGUACGGGACC